GGAGGGGCUAGGGUUCAGUGAUAGAGCGUCUGAUUGGCAAGCAGAAGGUCCCAGGGUUCUAUCCUCGGGCUUUCCU
rnacentral:tRNA from 1 species